rnacentral:rRNA from 1 species
AUUGAACGCUGGCGGCAGGCCUAACACAUGCAAGUCGAGCGGAUCGGCGGACGCGUGCGUAAUGCCUAGGACUCUGCCUGGUAGUGGGGGAUAACGUCCGGAAACGGGCGCUAAUACCGCAUCCUCUCACAUUAGCCUAGGUCGGAUUAGCUGGUUGGGGGGGUAAAGGCCUACCAAGGCGACGAUCCGUAACUGGUCUGAGAGGAUGAUCAGUCACACUGGAACUGAGACACGGUCCAGACUCCUACGGGAGGCAGCAGUGGGGAAUAUUGGACAAUGGGCGAAAGCCUGAUCCAGCCAUGCCGCGUGUGUGAAGAAGGUCUUCGGAUUGUAAAGCACUUUAAGUUGGGAGGCGUUACCAGCAGAAGAAGCACCGGCUAACUUCGUGCCAGCAGCCGCGGUAAUAC